CCUACGGGAGGCUGCAGUGAGGAAUAUUGGUCAAUGGACGAGAGUCUGAACCAGCCAAGUAGCGUGAAGGAUGACUGCCCUAUGGGUUGUAAACUUCUUUUAUAAAGGAAUAAAAGGAGGCAAGUGUGCCUUUUUGCAUGUACUUUAUGAAUAAGGAUCGGCUAACUCCGUGCCAGCAGCCGUGGUAAUACGGAGGAUCCGAGCGUUAUCCGGAUUUAUUGGGUUUAAAGGGAGCGUAGAUGGGUCGUUACGUCAGUUGUGAAAGUUUGCGGCUCAAACGUCGAAUUGCAAUUGAUACGGGCAGUCUUGAGUGCAGUAGAGGUAAGCGGAAUUCGUUGUGUAGCGGUGAAAG
rnacentral:rRNA from 1 species